GAGUUGUGGCUCAGUGGUAGAGUGCUCGCCUAGCAUGCAUGCAUGAGGCACUGGGUUCGAUCCUCAGCCUCA
rnacentral:tRNA from 1 species